rfam:Danio rerio chromosome 6, GRCz11 reference primary assembly.
CAUCACAGCCAUAUUACCCUGCAGUCCAAGACUCAUUAUUCACUAAAGCUAAGCAGGACUGAGCCUGGUCAGUACCUGGAUGGGAGACCAUAUGGCAAAACUAGGUUGCUGCUGGAA